AGAUAACUUAACGUUCGUAUAACCUCAAUAAUAUGGAUUGAGGGUCUCUACAAGGAACCAUAAAUUCCUGGCUACGAAUAGGG
rnacentral:ncRNA from 1 species